AGGCAAAUCCCAGGGCUCCCAUUUACAAACAUCGAGUUCUCGAAUGACUUUGACCUCUUCAUCAUUUCCAUUAAUCUUCAAUCUCAAGUAGAAAUUCACCAAUUCCUCGUCCGUUGGCCUGAAUCUGAACCCUAAAGGCAGCGAGCUAAACGACAACACUGCCAUACCCACUUUUCACCACUAGAGAAACGGAGAGAAACCCAGAAAACCGAAGAAAAUGGGAGAAAGUAAGAAAACAGAAAGAGAUUCUUAGAGAUUUUCGAUUGUAAGCUAGGAGGACUUUCGUAGGAUGAUUGCCCAAAUAGCUUGCUUUUUUUUUUUUCUGUAAUUAUCUCCACAGUAAACAACGCGUUUCCUUCGUAUAUACCGUGUAUCAAAGCGGACGCCCUCCUUUUAGCUUUUUCAUUAUGGCUAUGCCAUUUCCGAGUUCUUAAAUCCUU
rnacentral:misc_RNA from 1 species